CUUGUGCUUGCGAGGUAGGCUGCGCAACCACUGAGCUAAAUCCCCAGCCCCUUAUAUACAUAAUUUAGCAACACAAAAAUAAUCUUACAUGCAUCAACAUAUAUUACAGUAAAAUCAUAAUAGAAGAGAACUAUUAAAAUCACAGUCCUUGCUUCCCAUUAAUUUUGACAAUAUGUGUGGCAACACCAAAAGCCAUCCCAAGGAAUCUCCUCCAUCCCAAAUGCAUUCUUCUCUUCUGGUAAAAGAUCUCAGGGGGCCAGAAGAGUACAGGGUCUGAAAAGAGGCCAAGCACAGAAAAGAACACCAAAUACAAGGUUGCUAGUGUCACCCUUCUGCUCAGUGUCAACAGCUGGUGGCAACUGCAGCUGUGAGGCGAGAAACAAACUAGACCUGCACCGUUUAAAAUGCCCCAGUGGAAAAGACUGAGAUAAAUUGCUUCGAAAAGGUAUGCAAACAAACACAUUUUAAAUUGCCAGAGCUCAAAUUGUGAUAUCUAUUAAAAAUUCAAAUGCAUACACUCUUUGACCUAACAAAUCCACUUUUAGCAAUUUAC
rnacentral:lncRNA from 1 species